rnacentral:tRNA from 1 species
AAUACAGUAAGCUAUAUUAUAAGCUAUUAGGUUCAUACCCUAAAAAUAGAAUUUUAUUUCUCUGUAUUA